GGAUUGGUUGUGGGGGGGCCGGGGCUUAGAGGGGGCGGGGCUCUGAUUGGUGGGGAUGAGAGGGCGGGUUAAUGGGGGGCUGGUCUCUGAUUGGUGGAGCCGUGGGAGGGGGCGGGGCUUAGAUAAGAGAGAUUUGCUUGGAUGGGCUGUGGUAAGGGGCGGGGCUGGAUGGGGUCAUGUGACCUCCAGCCCCAUAAGUGUGGGUCUGGAAGGGGUCACGUGAUCCCCAGCCCCAUAAGUGUGGGUCAGAUUGGGGUCACGUGACUCCCAGCCCCACAAAUGUGCAUCUGGAAGGGGUCACGUGACCCCCAGCCCCAUAAGUGUGGGUCAGAUUGGGGUCACGUGAUCCCCAGCCCCAUAAAUGUGGGUCAGAUGGGGUAGUGGGACCCUCAAGAGUGGUUCUAUAUGGGGCCACGUGACCCCCAGCCCCAUAAGUGUGGGUCUGGAUGAGGUCACGUGACCCUCAGCCCCAUCAGUGUGGGUCAGAUUGGGUUGUGGGACCCCCAGCCCCACAAGUGUGGGUCAGAUUGGGGUCACGUGACCCCCAGCCCCACAAAUGUGGGUCUGGAAGGGGUCACGUGACCCCCAGCCCCAUAAGUGUGGGUCCCACAUCCCCCUCUCCCCCCCAGCUGUGUCCCAUUGGGGUCCCUGGAGCUCCUGGACCCCCUGCGAAAGGCGGCAGUGGGGCGAUUUGAGAUGUAAGGAAGUUGUGGGGCAGCAGAAAAGGACCAGGGAAUGUGUGGGGCGGGAAGGGGGCGGCGGCCCCUGCCCCAUAAGUGUGGGGCACGGAACCAUCCAGCUGCGGGCCUGCUACAACAUCAACCACUGCCUGCGUGAGUGCCCCAUAGCUGCCCCAUAGCUGCCCCAUAAGUGCCCCAUAGCUGCCCCAUAAGUGCCCCAUAGCUGCCCUAUAGACGCCCCAUAGCUGCCCCAUAAGUUCCCCAUAAGUGCCCCAUAGCUACCCCAUAAGUGCCCCAUAGCUGCCCUAUAGACGCCCCAUAGCAGCCCCAUAAGUGCCCCAUAGCUGCCCCAUAGCCGCCCUAUUGAUGCCCCAUAGUUGCCCCAUAAGUGCCCCAUAGCUGCCCUAUAGACGCCCCAUAGCAGCCCCAUAAGUACCCUAUUGAUGCCCCAUAAGUGCCCCAUAAGUGCUCCAUAGCUGCCCCAUAGCUGCCCCAUAGCUGCCCCAUAAGUGCCCCAUAAGUGCCCUAUUGAUGCCCCAUAGCAGCCCCAUAAGUGCCCCAUAGCUGCC
rnacentral:lncRNA from 1 species